rnacentral:rRNA from 1 species
UUGGAGGGCAAGUCUGGUGCCAGCAGCCGCGGUAAUUCCAGCUCCAAUAGCGUAUAUUAAAGUUGUUGCAGUUAAAAAGCUCGUAGUUGAAUUUCGGGAUCAAUUUGCUGGCCGUGCCUUCGGUACGCACUGGUAUUAUUGGUUUCUCCUUUCUGAUGAAUCGCGAUGUCAUUAAUUUGGUGUCGUGGGGAAUCAGGACCGUUACUUUGAAAAAAUUAGAGUGUUUAAAGCAGGCUCACGCUUGAAUACAUUAGCAUGGAAUAAUGAAAUAGGACGUUUGAUUCUAUUUUGUUGGUUUCUAGGAUCGACGUAAUGAUUAAUAGGGAUAGUUGGGGGCAUUAGUAUUCAAUUGUCAGAGGUGAAAUUCUUGGAUUUAUUGAAGACUAACUACUGCGAAAGCAUUUGCCAAGGAUGUUUUCAUUAAUCAAGAACGAAAGUUAGGGGAUCGAAGACGAUCAGAUACCGUCGUAGUCUUAACCAUAAACUAUGCCGACUAGGGAUCGGAUGAUGUUAAUUUUUUAAUGACUCAUUCGGCGCCUUACGGGAAAC